CCAGUGAAGUAUAUUAACCCUAUACAAGCUCUCUACUCGAACAGUACAUGUCGAGUCAGAGCUUAUGGUGGAUUGUCAUCGGAACUGA
rnacentral:precursor_RNA from 1 species